rnacentral:rRNA from 1 species
AACGAACGCUGGCGGCAUGCCUAACACAUGCAAGUCGAACGAGACCUUCGGGUCUAGUGGCGCAAGGGUGCGUAACGCGUGGGAACCUGCCCUUAGGUUCGGAAUAACUCCCCGAAAGGGGUGCUAAUACCGGAUAAUGUCUUCGGACCAAAGAUUUAUCGCCUUUGGAUGGGCCCGCGUUGGAUUAGCUAGUUGGUAGGGUAAAAGCCUACCAAGGCGACGAUCCAUAGCUGGUCUGAGAGGAUGAUCAGCCACACUGGGACUGAGACACGGCCCAGACUCCUACGGGAGGCAGCAGUGGGGAAUAUUGGACAAUGGGCGAAAGCCUGAUCCAGCAAUGCCGCGUGAGUGAUGAAGGCCUUAGGGUUGUAAAGCUCUUUUACCCGGGAUGAUAAUGACAGUACCGGGAGAAUAAGCUCCGGCUAACUCCGU